rnacentral:rRNA from 1 species
AUGGUCCAGGGGAGGCGACCGCGUCGGGUGCGCGAGGAGGCCGCGGCGAUCGUGUGCGUGCGCGAUGCGCGGGCGCGAGCCGGAGCGCGCGGGGCAUGGCGAGUGGGGGGGGAGCGAGUGCGUGUGGGCGAGGCCUGGCAUGUCAGUGCUCGCGGGUAUAAAUCCCCCUCACCUAUGUGUACCUUGUUGACACGUCGAGUUCGUGCUCGAGGGAAAGAAAAGGGCGUUCGUGCGCCGGAAAAAUUCAUGUGUCCACUGCCUCGUCUGAUCUUCUUCUUCCACCUCCUUCCGUCGUCUGAGCGCAGAGAGCGAGGGAGGUGGAGAGAGAGAGAGAGAGAGCUAGGAUUUAGCAGGAGCGGCAACGACAAUUGGCAUGAGAGCUUCAGGUUCGGGAGCUCGCCGGCGGCAAUGGCGAUCGUGCCACACGGCGGUGGCACGGGCUGA